UACAGAGGUCUCAAGCGUUGUUCGGAUUCAUUGGGCGUAAAGGGCGCGUAGGCGGCGGGGUAAGUCGGGUGUGAAAUCUCAGGGCUCAACCCUGAAACUGCGACUCGAUACUGCUCUGCUUGAGGACUGGAGAGGAGACUGGAAUUCACGGUGUAGCAGUGAAAUGCGUAGAUAUCGUGAGGAAGACCAGUGGCGAAGGCGGGGUCUCUGGACAGUUCCUGACGCUGAGGCGCGAAGGCCCAGGGGAGCAAAGC
rnacentral:rRNA from 1 species